CUCCCUUCUCCCACACCCUCCUCUGCUCUCUUUCUUCUUUGCUGGACUGUUUUGUGCUAGCUGUUCUUUCCUAUUGUAAGCAGAAAUGAUGAUGCCUUAGUUGGGGAGCUUAGGAGCUGCUUUAAUGAUGUGCUUGCAAAAAUGGUACCGGAUGCCAAUGUUCGAAAAAAGAUUGAUCAACAAUCUGUGCUCUAUGAGCAACAGCGAGAAAGCUUUUCUAAUCCAUUGGCACUCGAGACCAUGAGCACAAGAAACCCUCUUGAUUGGUGGAGUUCAUUUGGUGGUCGGGCCAUUGACCUACAAAGGUUUGCAAAGCGCAUUGUUAGUCUUUGUGCUUCAUCAUCUGGUUGUGAGAGGAAUUGGAGCACGUUUGAAUUUGUAAGUCAACUAGUAAAGCAGUAUUUGUGUUUGUUCA